CUUCAGAUCCACAGCCUGGGAAAACUCUAUCCUCAGCACACCAACUGGAAGAGGAAAGAGAGACAGAACAGGUUAACCCGUUUCGCUAUAAUGAGUUGUUUCUGCUUAAGAUGGACAGUUCUAUAACUAGGGGUGCACCAAUAAAGAAUUUUUUGUGCGAUACCGAUGGCCGAUUAUUAACCAGCCACAUUGGCUGGCACUGAUCCGAUAUGCAGCCCUGCAGCUUGGAGAGCAGCUUCAGCUGGCCUGCAGUUGGGCUGGUUUGCAUGUAAACCUAUAGAAUGAAAAAAAAAAGGUGGUCUGAAAACUCACAACAGGAAGUAGAAGGAAUAAAAGAAGAAGAAAUUACUCCACCCCAAGCAGGAAAAACUAAAGGAGGUUAAUACGUGGCAGCUCUGGAUCAAUGAGGAACAAACAGUGCUAUAUGACUGCACUUCAGGCAUACACAGAAUAACCAAAUAAUACGUCUUCAGUGUGCCUACAUUACUUAAUUGGCAGCCAUGCUGUUUGAAAUUAGCAAAUAUUUGCAGCAAAGCCUACAGUGUGGGAAAAGGGUUUUCUAAAAAUACUGAUCAGUUUCUCACAUUGAUUUCAUUCUCAAACUAGCUUCUGACCUCAACCUAUUCCCACGUGUCAGUGAACUCUGUUAGUGUCAAAGUGGGUGCCAUUUCAUAUACAAUUUCUCUUAUAUACACAUGCAGCUCCUUAUCUGACUAGUGAAAAUAUAAAAUCCACUACUGCUUGACCCCAGUUACUCAUUCUUUGUUACACACUACCCUAGUGAGUAUUGCAAGCUUGCUGUUCUUGGACACAUCUUGCUUGUGUUACCCCUAAUUGAAUAUCCAUUAGGAUAAAGGGAGGAACAGAGCAACACUGAGCAUUUUCUUCAUGGAUCUUUAAUCUCAUAAGGUCAAUAUUAAGGAAACCACUAACUUUUGUCACUUAAAAGCUUGUCCACAGGUUUGUAGACAAAAAUAAAGG